UUUAACAACAUCAAGUCUUUCAUAUAUUCCAAAUACAAUAUUAUUAACAACACCAAGUCAUUAAUUCAAUUUCACUCAACAUAAUUCAUGAACAACUAAAACUAAACAAUCUUUUAAAAAUCAAAGAUCUGAACAUUAGAUUUCAGCUUGAAGUUGUAAAUCUUGUUCUAGGUAGUCUUUUUAAAAAAUUAUAUUUCUAUAAAAUUUAAGUUAUCAUAUUCAUUUUUUCAAAAAUUCUUCCUUUUAUAAAUAUAUUCUUACAUGUAUAUGCAAUAUCAUCUAACACAUUCCUACAAUACAGGAGGUGGCCCCCUCAACCUUUAUAUAUAUAUAUAUAUAUAUAUAUAUAUAUAUAUAUAUAUAUAUAUAGCAGGACUGCUGUGCUCUCAGGAGCACGGAGGCCUCUAUACUCCUGAGCCGUUUU
rnacentral:lncRNA from 1 species